GGGCUUCACGAAUGCUGUUGGAGUCAGGUUGGAGGACCUGAUAUAGGACAUAACAGUGGUGUGAGUAUAAUUGUCUCGGAUGGUAUUGAAAGAUGCCACAAAAUGCAAAAGAUGCUUCCAGUUGCACAGAGCAUAAUUAUGGCCUAGACCAAGUAUGUAGCGAUCAAUCAUUCCAGUAGAAUUACAAGCAGGUCCAAGACCGCCUUUCACUAAACAAUUGACCUGAUAUUGGGUUGAGAACAUUGGCAAUCAGAUUGGAGGGGGCCUGCACGGCUCGGAGGAAUUCGGUCGACACGUUUAGGCUUGUGGUGGAAGCAUCUUCAUCUUCUUCUCCUUCUUCCGACUCUUCUA